UCUUUAGCUUUUUGUAUCGGUGUAUCCUCUUUGCAGAGACAUUGCUGAAUCAUUUGAUGGUACAUUUUAUGCACAAAAAGAGUGACUACAUUAGUCACCAAAAGAUGCUCCCCACAGGUGUAUGCUACUAUGCCAUAUAAGGCAUUCAGAACAGAACUUUAUACGUCGCCACAGACAUCUUUAUAUCUUGUCACCGAAGACAACUCCCAUUUUCGUUAUUAAUUUGUUCAAACAUAUCACUCUCCUCAUCUCUCGGUCUCACGGGAACUUCAGUUUCUCCGCUGCUAUGGAUAGAACUAUCGCUAUAAUUAUUCUUCUACUUUCUCGUGUAUUUCUCUAUACAAAUUUUUCUAUGAGAAUUCUCGGAGAGUUUGACAAAUCAGGAGCUUUCGAUAUGGAACUGCUAAACAAGACUUUUAUGAAGGAUGACUAUGGCCGAAGAACAAAGUUGCACGAAGUACACUCAGGAUCCAAUCCUAUCAGCAAUUCUCUUCCUGUCAAGGGAACUGAGACAUGAUGGACAGGAAGAUCACCCAUCUAUCAGCUGUAUCUACUAUAAACAAAUUAAACUUGAAUUACUUUAUGAUCUGUUUGGUAAGUUGAAUUUCAUUUGAAACUAGAUUUGAUCAAUUGAUAUGUUUGGUUACACAAAAGAAGCUGUAUUUGAAUUUCAUUUGAAAUUCAUAACA